rnacentral:rRNA from 1 species
GACGAACCGUGCGAACGUUGUUCGGAAUCACUGGGCUUAAAGGGCGCGUAGGCGGGCUGCCAAGUCCGGGGUGAAAUCUUUCGGCUUAACCGGAAAAGUGCCUUGGAUACUGGCAGUCUAGAGGGAGGUAGGGGCAUGUGGAACUUCCGGUGGAGCGGUGAAAUGCGUUGAUAUCGGAAGGAACGCCGGUGGCGAAAGCGACGUGCUGGAUCUCUUCUGACGCUGAGGCGCGAAAGCCAGGGGAGCGAACGGG